GGACUACCAGGGUAUCUAAUCCCUUUUGCUCCCCACGCUUUCGUGCCUGAGCGUCAGCAAUUGUCCAGGUAGCCGCCUUCGCCUCUGGUGUUCCUCACGAUAUCUACGCAUUUCACUGCUACACCGUGAAUUCCGCUACCCUCUCCAAUGCUCUAGCCAUGUAGUUUGAGGUGCAAUUCCGGGGUUAAGCCCCGGGCUUUCACGCCUCACACACUUGGCCGCCUGCGCACCCUUUACGCCCAGUGAAUCCGAAUAACGCUUGCAGUCUCUGUAUUACCGCGGCUGCUGGCAC
rnacentral:rRNA from 1 species